CACCUAUAAGAAAUAAAUUAUUCAAGUAUAUAUACCAAUCAGACGAAAUAAUGGAACUUACACUUCAAUCUUCUGCCUUCAACUUGCAAUAUUGCAAUACAAUUUAAUUAAAUUUGAUACUUUUCGUAAGAAAAAUGAAAUUCUUUUCCUCAACUUUGAUGCUCAUUGUUCUUGGAGUAUUAUUCAGUGCUGUACCAACUUAUCAAGCACCUUCAAACAAGGCAUUAUUGAAAUUUUCAAAAGGAAAGUAAUAAAACACUUUGACUCACAACAUGUCUCCAGAAAAAACAAAAAUGGAGUAUGAUAAAUUAUUUGUCAAAACUGUAAAUUUUUUUAUUUAAAAAUAAUAUUGUAAAUUGUGCGCAAUAUAUGACUUUAAUAAAUUUCCGAAUGUUUUAAGCUUAA